rnacentral:rRNA from 1 species
AACGCUGGCGGCGUGCCUAACACAUGCAAGUCGAACGGAGUUACGGAAGCUUGCUUCUGUAGCUUAGUGGCGGACGGGUGAGUAACGCGUGAGCAACCUGCCUUACAGAGGGGGGAUAGCCAUUGGAAACGAUGGAUAAUACCGCAUAACGUAUUCGCAUGGCAUCUUGUGAAUACCAAAGGAGCAAUCCGCUGUAAGAUGGGCUCGCGUCCGAUUAGAUAGUUGGCGGGGUAACGGCCCACCAAGUCGACGAUCGGUAGCCGGACUGAGAGGUUGAACGGCCACAUUGGGACUGAGACACGGCCCAGACUCCUACGGGAGGCAGCAGUGAGGGAUAUUGCACAAUGGGCGAAAGCCUGAUGCAAGCAACGCCGCGUGAGGGAUGACGGUUUUCGGAUUGUAAACCUCUGUUCUAAGUGAAGAUAAUGACAUUAGCUUAGGAGAAAGCCACGGCUAACUACGUGCCAGCAGCCGC